CCUACGGGUGACAGCAGUGAGGAAUAUUGGUCAAUGGGCGCGAGCCUGAACCAGCCAAGUAGCGUGAAGGAUGACUGCCCUACGGGUUGUAAACUUCUUUUAUCAAGGAAUAAAGUGAGGCACGUGUGCCUUUUUGUAUGUACUUUAUGAAUAAGGAUCGGCUAAUUCAGUCCCAGCUGCCGCGGUAAUACGGAGGAUCCGAGCGUUAUCCGGAUUUAUUGGGUUUAACGGGAGCGUAGAUGGGUUGUUAAGUCAGUUGUGAAAGUUUGCGGCUCAACCGUAAAAUUGCAAUUGAUACUGGCAGUCUAGAGUACAGUUGAGGUAGGCGGAAUUCGUGGUGUAGCGGUGAAAUGCUUAGAUAUCACGAAGAACUCCGAUUGCGAAGGCAGCUUACUAAACUGCCACUGACAUUGAUGCUCGAAAGUGUGGGUAUCAAACAGGAUUAGAUACCCGAGUAGUC
rnacentral:rRNA from 1 species